rnacentral:rRNA from 1 species
CGGGACGGGUGAGUAACGCGUGGGUAACCUGCCUCAUACAGGGGGAUAACGGUUAGAAAUGACUGCUAAUACCGCAUAAGCGCACAGUACCGCAUGGUACGGUGUGAAAAACUCCGGUGGUAUGAGAUGGACCCGCGUCUGAUUAGCUAGUUGGUGAGGUAACGGCCCACCAAGGCGACGAUCAGUAGCCGACCUGAGAGGGUGACCGGCCACAUUGGGACUGAGACACGGCCCAG